rnacentral:rRNA from 1 species
UACGGAGGGGGCUAGCGUUGUUCGGAAUUACUGGGCGUAAAGCGCACGUAGGCGGCUUUGCAAGUUAGAGGUGAAAGCCCGGGGCUCAACUCCGGAAUUGCCUUUAAAACUGCAUCGCUAGAAUUGUGGAGAGGUAAGUGGAAUUCCGAGUGUAGAGGUGAAAUUCGUAGAUAUUCGGAAGAACACCAGUGGCGAAGGCGACUUACUGGACACAUAUUGACGCUGAGGUGCGAAAGCGUGGGGAGCAAGACGA